AUCACAUGGCCUUUGGGCCUGGGAUCACUGGUAUCCGAUGUGUGUUGGAGGAACACAGGGAGCUGGCCUCGGGCCAAGUCAGCUCUGGUUCUUGCCAGAAGUGCAACUGGACAUGCAGGGAGGUGGCAGGUAACUCCUCCACAAACACUGACCAGAUCCCGGGUGCUAGGAACCGCACUGCAAGCUGAGAGCCAAGGAGAAAAAGGACAAGCACGCACAGAGAUUCAGUGCGAUGGGGAUUCUUAACUGGGGUACCUGACUGGACUCCAGGGCCAACGACCACACACGCACACAGGGAAUCAGCUGUUCUCUCAUUCCCACCUGACCAACACCCCAACUCAUGAAAACCCAAGAAAGCUGACAGCCAGCUGAAUUACUGGAACCACAACAGACUUAAGUAUUUAGCACCCUGGUCCUAGAAAUGGAAACUCAUUUACACUUGUCAUGGCUUAAACAAUA